rnacentral:rRNA from 1 species
CAAUAAGCGGAGGAAAAGAAACCAACAGGGAUUGCCCUAGUAACGGCGAGUGAAGCGGCAACAGCUCAAAUUUGAAAUCUGGCUCUUUAGAGUCCGAGUUGUAAUUUGCAGAGGGCGCUUUGGCUUUGGCAGCGGUCCAAGUUCCUUGGAACAGGACGUCACAGAGGGUGAGAAUCCCGUACGUGGUCGCUGGCUAUUGCCGUGUAAAGCCCCUUCGACGAGUCGAGUUGUUUGGGAAUGCAGCUCUAAAUGGGAGGUACAUUUCUUCUAAAGCUAAAUAUUGGCCAGAGACCGAUAGCGCACAAGUAGAGUGAUCGAAAGAUGAAAAGCACUUUGGAAAGAGAGUCAAACAGCACGUGAAAUUGUUGAAAGGGAAGCGCUUGCAGCCAGACUUGCUUGCAGUUGCUCAUCCGGGCUUUUGCCCGGUGCACUCUUCUGCAGGCAGGCCAGCAUCAGUUUGGGCGGUAGGAUAAAGGUCUCUGUCACGUACCUCUCUUCGGGGAGGCCUUAUAGGGGAGACGACAUACUACCAGCCUGGACUGAGGUCCGCGCAUCUGCUAGGAUGCUGGCGUAAUGGCUGUAAGCGGCCCGUCUUGAAACACGGACCAAGGAGUCUAACAUCUAUGCGAGUGUUUGGGUGUCAAGCCCGAGCGCGUAAUGAAAGUGAACGGAGGUAGGAACCCGCAAGGGUGCACUAUCGACCGAUCCUGAUGUCUUCGGAAGGAUUUGAGUAAGAGCAUGGCUGUUGGGACCCGAAAGAUGGUGAACUAUGCUUGAAUAGGGUGAAGCCAGAGGAAACUCUGGUGGAGGCUCGCAGCGGUUCUGACGUGCAAAUCGAUCGUCAAAUUUGGGCA